UAAUUGAAGAGUUUGAUCAUGGCUCAGAUUGAACGCUGGCGGCAGGCCUAACACAUGCAAGUCGAGCGGUAACAGAAAGUAGCUUGCUACUUUGCUGACGAGCGGCGGACGGGUGAGUAAUGCUUGGGAACAUGCCUUGAGGUGGGGGACAACAGUUGGAAACGACUGCUAAUACCGCAUAAUGUCUACGGACCAAAGGGGGCUUCGGCUCUCGCCUUUAGAUUGGCCCAAGUGGGAUUAGCUAGUUGGUGAGGUAAUGGCUCACCAAGGCGACGAUCCCUAGCUGGUUUGAGAGGAUGAUCAGCCACACUGGGACUGAGACACGGCCCAGACUCCUACGGGAGGCAGCAGUGGGGAAUAUUGCACAAUGGGCGCAAGCCUGAUGCAGCCAUGCCGCGUGUGUGAAGAAGGCCUUCGGGUUGUAAAGCACUUUCAGUCAGGAGGAAAGCGUGGUGGUUAAUACCCAUCAUGUGUGACGUUACUGACAGAAGAAGCACCGGCUAACUCCGUGCCAGCAGCCGCGGUAAUACGGAGGGUGCGAGCGUUAAUCGGAAUUACUGGGCGUAAAGCGUACGCAGGCGGUUUGUUAAGCGAGAUGUGAAAGCCCCGGGCUCAACCUGGGAACUGCAUUUCGAACUGGCAAACUAGAGUGUGAUAGAGGGUGGUAGAAUUUCAGGUGUAGCGGUGAAAUGCGUAGAGAUCUGAAGGAAUACCGAUGGCGAAGGCAGCCACCUGGGUCAACACUGACGCUCAUGUACGAAAGCGUGGGGAGCAAACGGGAUUAGAUACCCCGGUAGUCCACGCCGUAAACGAUGUCUACUAGAAGCUCGGAGCCUCGGUUCUGUUUUUCAAAGCUAACGCAUUAAGUAGACCGCCUGGGGAGUACGGCCGCAAGGUUAAAACUCAAAUGAAUUGACGGGGGCCCGCACAAGCGGUGGAGCAUGUGGUUUAAUUCGAUGCAACGCGAAGAACCUUACCUACACUUGACAUACAGAGAACUUACCAGAGAUGGUUUGGUGCCUUCGGGA
rnacentral:rRNA from 1 species